GACGAACGCUGGCGGCGUGCCUAAUACAUGCAAGUCGAACGAGAGCGACCGGUGCUUGCACUGGUUAAUCUAGUGGCGAACGGGUGAGUAACACGUGGGUAACCUGCCCAUCAGAGGGGGAUAACAUCCGGAAACGGAUGCUAAAACCGCAUAGGUCUUCGAACCGCAUGGUUUGAAGAGGAAAAGAGGCGCAAGCUUCUGCUGAUGGAUGGACCCGCGGUGCAUUAGCUAGUUGGUGAGGUAACGGCUCACCAAGGCCGUGAUGCAUAGCCGACCUGAGAGGGUGAUCGGCCACAUUGGGACUGAGACACGGCCCAAACUCCUACGGGAGGCAGCAGUAGGGAAUCUUCCGCAAUGGACGCAAGUCUGACGGAGCAACGCCGCGUGAGUGAAGAAGGUUUUCGGAUCGUAAAACUCUGUUGUUAGAGAAGAACAAGUGCUAGAGUAACUGUUAGCGCCUUGACGGUAUCUAACCAGAAAGCCACGGCUAACUACGUG
rnacentral:rRNA from 1 species